AUAAAUAAAAUCUUUUAAUAUAUAUAUAUAUAUAUAUAUAUAUGAAAUCUGGGGUCCAGUUUGAAUUUGAGGUCUUUGAAUUCAGGCAAGAUUUAAAUUUAAGACAUUCCAAAUUGAUUACUUAGUUAGCUAUAUUAAAAAUAGCUAAGUUUUUCUGAUUGCUGUUAGAUGUAUCAGUGUAAAAUUAUUUAAUCCUCAUAAUGACAGAUGUGUUAUUGCCACCCUGUUUUAUAGGUGAUGCAGAUGAAAUACAGGCAUUUGGUAAUUUUCCCAAGGUCACAUAGUAAGUGGCCAAUAUUUCCAGUCAUCUCUGAUUCCAGAGCUUAUUUUCAUUGUACUUUUAGCCCUGCUCCUGUAUGGUUCCUAAUUGAUUUUUUUAAGUCAUUUAUCUCAAGCCCUAGACGAGAUUGCUUUAUAAGGUCUAAUUUCUUAGAAUAAACAUAGGUUUUAGCUAGUUUUCCUUGGCAAACUUUUAAGGGCAGAUCUGAGGAAUAAAGGUUAUAUGUUAUAAAUUCAGUAAAUCCCUGUGGGCAUUACCAAAUAAACCUAAGUACUCUUCAUACCAACGUUUUCAUUUCCAAAGUUUUAGAAGGAUGGAAUACAUUUUGGGAAUCUUUAAAGUUAAUAGUCCUCUCAGCCCCUUAUUACAUGUGCUCUUGGCCCCAGUUUUUACUCAAUUUGAAAUGUGAAAUGACUAGAAAAGAUGGCAGCUUUUUAAAAAGUAUGCCAACUAGCCCCCUGGCAUCCAAAUACAUGCCCUGUGCCCUUUAAAGUUGCCUUGGGCAGCCAUAGGUAUUCUAAGAAUGCUGUCAUUGCUCAGAAGAUACUUGAAGCUUGUUUAAAAUUCCUUUCAGGAACAAUUUUAUAAACUGAGAGAAGCAAUUUCUUCACAUUAUUUGCCAUAUUGAGACAAAUCUUGGCUUUCCAAGAAUUACCUUUUCAAUGAUUGGAGAUGCCACCUUUAAGCAAAUUCAGAAGAAUCUACUAUGUGCUCUAAAGGCAGUCACAAAAGAAAGGCAUUUCAAAUAAUAGGUACAGUAAGUAGUAUUUAGAAUAGGUAAAUAGCUGCUGAGGUGAGUACUUUGAAGUGAUUAUCACUCAUUCAACACGUAAAGCACAGGAGAAAGGUCUAAUCCCUACUCACAAGGAGCAGGACUUUCAGUGGGGAGACGUGUAAAUAGUUAAUAUUAAAAACCUUAAAAGAUAGAUAUGCUGUAAAUGUUCCAUCCCCUUUCAAAUGGUAUUUGAGAGGAGUGGUGAAGAGUUAUGGGGUGAAAAAUGGGCUCAUCUGAACUUAGAGUUUUGUCAGCUAAUAGGUAAUGUGUGUUUCACUGUUACAUUCUAAGUAUUGUGCUGGUCUAAGAUUUCUUGGUUUUGGCAGGAUGGGGACCUAAAGCCUCUGAAAUACUGCCGAGUUUAUCAAUGGACAGUGUUGGUGACUGUAAUGUACCUACUUUUUAAAUUCACACUUGUUCCCUGUCUACACCAAAUGUUCUAGAAUAGCACUGUUUAGUAGGAGGAUAAUGCAAGUGAUAAGUAAUUUUAACUUUUCUAGCAGCUGCAGUACAAAAGAUAAAAAGCUAGAGGCUAACUUAAUAAUUUGAUUUAACCCAAUAAGGUCAAAAUAUUUUAACAUGUUGAAUUAAUAGAGAAAAUAAUUGAGAUUUACAUUUUUUCAAAUUGAAUCUUCAAAAUCUGGUAUAUUACACUUAGAGUAUGUCUCAUUUUGAAUAAGGCAUAUUUCUAAAUGUUCAAUAGAAACAAGUAGCUAGCAGCCUCCAUAUUGGACAGUGCAGUUCUAGAAUAUGGAAGAGAAUGGUUACAGUAAGUAGGGUGCAACUGGUGAUGGAUUUUUUAAGUUCACCUGUAGAUAUGCAGUCUUACCUGCUCACCUACACCACCCUACAACUAAAUGGACAUCAUUUUUUAAUAGUGUGUUAAAGCUGUAGUUUGAGUGUCCCAGGUGCCUUGGUGGCUCAGUCGGUUGUGUCCGAAUCUUGGUUUCAGCCCAGGUCAUGAUUUCCUGGGUUGUGAGAUGCUCCCCACCCCCACACUGGGCUCCAUGCUCAGCAGGGAGUCUUCUUGAAGAUUCUCCCUCCACCCCUCCUCCCACUCACUUGUGUGUGUGCUCUCUCCCAAAAAAAUAAAUUUUUUAUUUUAAAAAGGUGUCUAUCCAGGCUUACAAAGCUACCAUCAUUCCCUCCUUUUGAGGUUAAUGUACUCCCUACCAAAGCUUCAAAUCUAACCGUUAAGAAUUAGCAAAAGACCUCAGCCAGUUGAAGAACCAAUGAUUAAAAAUUAAGGAAGCUCAUCACAACUUCAGCAUUAUGUAGCAGCCAAUAAAUAGUGGUUGUCACAUUUAUCGCAGGAACAAGCACCCAAAAUUUUAUGUGGAUUUUCCUAGUUCUGUUAUGUUAAAAUAAUAAGUAAUUUACAAGCAGUUGCCCUAUCAUCUGAAAUCACUGCAUUUGAAUAUUUUUGGCACUUGUUAGAAACAGCUAACCUGGAUUUAUGUUUCCACUUUAGAUAGUGAUAUAUUGUGUUUAAAUGACUGAGUGGAAGAGGAAAAGCUGACAUGAGAAUAGAGGCUACAAAAUCAGACUUCAGCCCAAGUGAAAGCACGUAU
rnacentral:lncRNA from 1 species